AUAAAUUUCAAAUUUAAUUUAAAUUUGGGUGGAACUUCUUCAGAAUUUGGACUAGUUCCGUGUAUUGAGAUUGAGAAUUAAUUUUUUUAUUAAGUUCACAAUAUGUUCGCGAUCCACAGAUGUAUACUGAACAAAAUAUUUCAUUGCAAUGACUAUUCGAACUAGUGUUACUGACGGAAACUAAAUAAAAAAAAAAUAGAAACCAAAAUGUUUCAAAAGAUGGAACCAUAUUAUUUUUUUUUGUAUCUGGCAUGGGCGCUAAGAUAUUUUUAUAUUAUUCUUCUAUUUGCCAUUUUUACGUACAGGAUGUUUAGGGUUUACUACGAUAUAAACUAAUCAAUUCUUAAACCUAUUGGAGAAAAAAGAAAAUUUUAAAAUAUCACCCAUGUGAAUAUUGAAUUAAUGAGUUUUUUCUCAUAUAUAUGUCCCUUAUUUACUAUAGGUAUUGUUUUUAUAUAUGAAACCACAUUUUUUAAAUUUUGUCAAAAGUUCGGAAAUAUUUGUGACGAGUAUGUGAUCAUAUUAUUUUGACAAUACAUUAUAUGAAUUUAACAAAAUUCUGCUGUUUUGAAUAAAAGAUUUUAUUGUUGAA